AUUAAGGCGUGCUGGCUGUCACGUGAGCGUGACGUAACCAAAAGUGUGAUGCGGAAGCAAAAGAUAAAAGAAUUACGAAGGAAUAAAAACCAACUACUAGGAAUAAAAACCAAUUACUAGCAAUAAUAACCAACUAGCAUACUAGAGUGAGUUUAAGUGUGAAACACACAUGUUCAGAGCAUAAGUACUAGGUGCAGUCAAGUAGGAACAUUACUAAAUUACAACACCCGAAGGUGAGUCCUACAUGAGGAGUCUGUCAGAACGCCGUGGGAAUCCUCAUGAGCCACCAACAGCGCUAACUAGAACCUGGAGGGGCGCAAUUAGUAAAACAAAGCUUUUCGAAAAAAUUUCAUUUAAUA
rnacentral:lncRNA from 1 species